rnacentral:rRNA from 1 species
UCGCCAGACUCCUACGGGAGGCAGCAGUGGGGGAUAUUGCACAAUGGGGGGAACCCUGAUGCAGCGACGCCGCGUGGGUGAAGAAGCGCCUCGGCGCGUAAAGCCCUGUCAGCAGGGAAGAAAAUGACGGUACCUGAAGAAGAAGCCCCGGCUAACUACGUGCCGGCAGCCGCGGUAAUACGUAGGGGGCAAGCGUUAUCCGGAUUUACUGGGUGUAAAGGGAGCGUAGACGGCUGCGCAAGUCAGAAGUGAAAGCCCGGGGCUCAACCGCGGGACUGCUUUUGAAACUGUGUAGCUAGAGUGCAGGAGAGGUAAGUGGAAUUCCUAGUGUAGCGGUGAAAUGCGUAGAUAUUAGGAGGAACACCGGUGGCGAAGGCGGCUUACUGGACUGUAACUGACGUUGAGGCUCGAAAGCGUGGGGAGCAAACAGGAUUAGAUACCCGCGUAA